rnacentral:rRNA from 1 species
UACGUAGGGGGCGAGCGUUAUCCGGAAUUACUGGGCGUAAAGCGCACGCAGGCGGUUCGCCAAGUUUGGAGUGACAGUUGUCGGCUCAACCGACAAAGGACUUCAAAAACUGGUGAACUUGAGGACGAGAGAGGAACAUGGAACUCCAGGUGUAGUAGUGAAAUGCGUAGAUAUCUGGAAGAACACCAAUGGCGAAGGCAAUGUUCUGGCUCGUUUCUGAACGGCUCAGGUGCGAAAGCCAGGGAGCGAACGGG